GGCGGAGUAGCUCAGUUGGUUAGAGCAAACGGCUCAUACCCGUUGUGUCGACAGUUCGAAUCUGUCCUCCGCUA
rnacentral:tRNA from 1 species